AAAAAACUAGGACCAGGUACCAGAUUCCAAAAAACUAGUACCAGGUACCAGAUUCCAAAAACUAGGACCAGGUACCAGAUUCUAAAAAACUAGGACCAGGUACCAGAUUCCAAAACACUAGUACCAGGUGCCAGAGUC